rnacentral:rRNA from 1 species
GACGAACCGUGCGAACGUUGUUCGGAUUCACUGGGCUUAAAGGGCGCGUAGGCAGGUCCGCCAGUCCGGGGUGAAAGCCCUCGGCUCAACCGGGGAAUUGCCUGGGAUACUGCGGACCUCGAGGGAGGUAGGGGUCGACGGAACUUCCGGUGGAGCGGUGAAAUGCGUAGAGAUCGGAAAGAACACCGAUGGCGAAGGCACUUUACUGGGCUAUUACUAACACUCAGAGACGAAAGCUAGGGUAGCAAAUGGG